GACGAACGCUGGCGGCGUGCUUAACACAUGCAAGUCGAACGGGCCCGCCCCUGUUUUUGGGGGUGGGUUGAGUGGCGAACGGGUGAGUAUCCCGUGAGUAACCUGCCCCCUGCUCCUGGAUAACUGCUUGAAAGGGCGGCUAAUACGGGGUGUGCCGGCUGGUCCGCAUGGGCCUGGUCGGGAUAGUUUCAUCUUCGGGUGUUUCGGUGGGGGAUGGGCUCGCGGCCUAUCAGCUUGUUGGUGGGGUGAUGGCCCACCAAGGCGGUGACGGGUAGCCGGCCUGAGAGGGUGGGCGGCCACACUGGGACUGAGACACGGCCCAGACUCCUGCGGGAGGCAGCAGUGGGGGGUAUUGCGCAAUGGGCGGAAGCCUGAUGCAGCGACGUCGCGUGAGGGAUGGAGGCCUUCGGGUUGUGAACCUCUUUCUCCGGUGGUGAAGGCCCUGUCCGUUGCGGCGGGGUUGACGGUAGCCGGGUAUGAAGCGCCGGCUAACUACGUG
rnacentral:rRNA from 1 species